rnacentral:rRNA from 1 species
UACGUAGGGUGCGAGCGUUAAUCGGAAUUACUGGGCGUAAGGCGUGCGCAGGCGGUGAUGUAAGACAGGUGUGAAAUCCCCCGGGCUUAACCUGGGAACUGCAUUUGUGACUGCAUCGCUGGAGUGCGGCAGAGGGGGAUGGAAUUCCGCGUGUAGCAGUGAAAUGCGUAGAUAUGUGGAGGAACACCGAUGGCGAAGGCAGCCCCCCUGGGCUAACACUGACGCUCAUGCACGAAAGCGUGGGGAGCAAACAGG